rnacentral:rRNA from 1 species
UGGGGAAUAUUGCACAAUGGGGGGAAACCCUGAUGCAGCGACGCCGCGUGAAGGAAGAAGUAUCUCGGUAUGUAAACUUCUAUCAGCAGGGAAGAAAACNGACGGUACCUGACUAAGAAGCCCCGGCUAACUACGUGCC